rnacentral:sRNA from 1 species
UGAUGAGAUCGAUUCUUCGGUGUUCUGGGGGGAUUGAUUGUUUAUUUCCCCCCCAAAAAAAAAAAAAAAAAAAAAAGUAGAAAAGAAAAAAGAAAAGAAAAUUAUUUUUUUUCCCUUCUUUCCCUUUGUUUCUUGACCCUGGCGAUUGAAUGACGGCCUUCCAAGAAGAAUGUGAUAGUUGGAUUUUACAUGACAUGAGGAUUUGGCGAGGUAACUACGGAGUAAAGGUAAAAUAAAAUAUGAGGAAAAGCAAAACGGUUGAGGAAAAAUGGGAGAUCUAGAAUCUUGGAUGCGCUUCUUACUAUUCACCGUGAAAUAGUUCACAUUAAUUAAUUACUGCCCCAUUGGGCGGUCAUCACAUCAAUCCCGACGCACACCAGCAAGUUAUUGUGAUCAAAAGAAAGACCCACAUCGCGAGCCGUAUUUGACAAAAUCUCAUUGGAAAAUCAAGAUGAACGACGGCCCCGAUCUUCGCGUUCAUCUCCUGCGCAUGUCCUCUGUGCAGGACAACCCUCAUUCUCUCAUCUGCCCCGCCAUCUCCUCUGCAGUUGCCACAAAAAUACCGAAUUCGAUCUCCUUUGCCCACUUCAAAAAAAAAAAAAAAAAAAAAAAAAAGAAAAAAAAAAUCUCAUCUAUUAUUUCAAUCAGGGGGGGACACAUACCCGACUUAUACCCACCCCAGGCAAUAUUAUUAAUAGUCACAAUCUUUAGUUAACUAUAACUAACAAUGGCUAUAACUAUCAUCACCACAUCACCAUAACCAUCAAAAAUCAGCUCCUCCCCUUCCCUCUCCAAGAACAAACCCGCAACCAACCCCUGCGUCACACAAGGCGGUGAGAACCCCCCGGACUCGGCAUCCAUCCUGCCAGCA